UCGAACAGUCCCGCGACUGCGCACACUCGAUUCCCGUUCCUCGAGCCUCGAUUUUCCUCUCUCGUGCCCUUUCUUUCUUUACACCAGCUACAGGACUGGAUGUUCCUGGAAUUGGUAGGGACGAGGGGAAAAAGAUGGCAGUAACGGUCAUCGAUGAAGGAAGGUCGAGGUCCUUGAUUCGAGAUGAAGAUACAAGAUUAUGGAAACACGGUUACGGGUGUUUCGAGGUUUUCAUAACGUUGUUUUUCACGGUUGCGCUGUCAGACACUAGAGGAUUUUGGUUUAUUGGGUGGAUGAUUGAUGGAUUUUAUUUGGGAAGUAGAUUACGAUGGGUAGUAUCUUUCAUAAAUAAAUAAGGUCUGGAAUGUUUUUAUCGAAUAUGCGUGUAAAUAAAAUCUGUUUUUCUAUGCUUCAUGACGGUCUUAGUAUGAGACGUAAAAUAAUAAAAAUUUCCUAUAUUAUGUACCAUCCUUAAUAUAUUUUGGCCAAAUAUUUAUUCACACUGUGAAGGUAUAUGAUCUUUUGAUUGAAACAAUAUAUAAUUAUCCUUCAGGAUGUAUUAUAUCUGUUCCAAUAAAUAAAAUUCUCUUA